UACGUAGGGAGCAAGCGUUGUCCGGAAUCAUUGGGCGUAAAGCGCGCGUAGGCGGCCUCAUAAGUCCGCUGUGAAAGUCAAAGGCUCAACCUUUGAAAGCCGGUGGAUACUGUGAGGCUAGAGUACGGAAGAGGCGAGUGGAAUUCCUGGUGUAGCGGUGGAAUGCGCAGAUAUCAGGAGGAACACCAAUAGCGAAGGCAGCUCGCUGGGACGUUACUGACACUGAGGCGCGAAAGCGUGGGGAGCGAACAGG
rnacentral:rRNA from 1 species